AUGGCGAGGCCCGGACGCCCCGUGUCUGAGAGCUACCAGCCCGCAGGCUGUUCCGUCAGCCAGUCCGCCUCUUACUCCAGCGAAGCCAAGGUCCUGGGACCGGAGGACGGCGACGACCACGCGCCCAUUUUCUCCCUCUCUAAGAGCUACAUGGAUGUCGUCACGGCGACGGGGCCGACGCACAAGCGGGACUCGGCCUGUAGCCACGUGGACCUGAAGCGCAGCUCCAGCACCAACACGCACGCCGAGCGGAACUCGGUGACGCUGCAGCAGCUGCACCCUCACAUGUGGCAGCACAUCAACUCCACCCGGCGCCGCCAGUCGUCGCUCUCGGCCGAGAGCGCGGACGUGCACGUGCCUCCCGCCCUCAGCGAGCGGUGGAUGGCCAACAUGCAUCGCUGGAGCGCGUGCAGCGGCACGCUGAGCCGCAGCAGCACUCCGGACACGGUUGUGUGGAGAGGCGGGACCUCGCGGCCCUCGAGUUUAACCCAGGAAACCCCUUGGUCUCCGGUGUCCAAAACGACCCCCUCGCCGACGACGCCCUCGCCCUUUACGUCCCCCUUACAGACGCCGACUCGACCACUGGAAGAUCUUUUGACUUCUUCUUUUUCGACCCAAACGCUGAGGACACAUCAGCAGGAAGUCUUCCCGAAGCCCUCUACACCGCUGUCACCCUCGCAGGCUCAACCCUCCUCACCUUCACCGCCGUACUCCCCCGAUCACCUGCAGCUCACCAGCGCAGAGGAUGAGGGCUUCCUGGACCACAACCAUUAUUGUUUUACAUUCCCAUCCCCGAUCCCGUCGUCUGUUAGUUUAGCAGAAGCGGGUUUGCCAUCAGAUGCUGAAUACCCGGUUGACGAUAACGUGAUGCAGGAUCUCCGCAGUCCUGGGGGCUCGGGGCUACUGGGGGUUGGAGGAGAGAGAAGCCCGGACAACGUGUUAAAUCAUUCGGCGGCUACAUCUCCAGAAGAUGAAGAGGAAUCGGGAAGAGGAGCCUCAGUCUGCCACCUCGAGCUGCCAUGGCAGCCGGGCCCAAGCUGUCCGACGGGCCGCGGUUGGAAAUCACCCCUGGUUUCUUCCCUGAGCGACUCGCUAUUGGGGGACUGCUGCAGGUGCAACUUGAACACCAGAGAGGGCAUCGUGAGGGCGCAGGUGUUGCGGGAGGCAGGUACAAUGACUUCACAGCCGGAGCUGGUGGACGCGGCGGUGCAGACGAUCUCCCCCGUCGCCUCCCUGUGGGUCCUCGGGAGAAAGAUGCCCAACUCCAACAUGGGCUCCCACUCCCUCCUGGGCUCGCCGCCCGGAUCAAGGCUGAACCUUAAGUCCUCAGCGGGGUCAAACACCAACCUGGUGUCCCCGUCCCCUAGCAUGUUCCCGAUGAGCAGCUGCGACGAAGAGGCGAGGCAAGGAGACGACCCGGCGUGGGAAAUCAACUCCGCCUCCUCGCAGGAUCUGGAGAGGAGGCGGUCGUGUCUGAAGAUAAAGAUGGGCGAGGAGGGGGAGGUCAUGGGGAGGAGGGGCAGCAUGAAGCAGGUGCAGUGGGACGAGGACGGCAUGACAUGGGACGUUCACGGAGCCUCGCUGGACCCGGAGGUGCUGAGCACGGCCAUACAGAAACAUCUGGAGCUCCAGAGCAGCCCCCGCACGCCGCGACUUUCUUUGAAGAAGAACAAAGCGCCUAAGCCUCCUCUCAUGGGGAACGUGGUGAAGGCAAUUGCCCCGGAUCUUCAUUCGCCGGUGGCGAUUGUCAAUUCCACUUGCAAGGAGCGCGAGAACAAGGGGACACCAGAGGAGGACGGAGGGAAAAAGGAGGAAAGAACAAAAGCGGUUCGUAGAAUAAGCCGAGCGGAGGCCGCGUAUGUCAAAGACGACGACGAGGUGUACGGAGGCGAAGGCACCACCAAUCCUGAAUCACCUUCUAGUGGGAGGGGACACAGCUGCAAAAAGGGUGUGAUCAGGUCCCUGAAGAAGCCUGGCUGGUGUGGAGGCUCCCGAAGGGAAGAUGACUGA
ensembl:lncRNA